CCGGACGCUUCCGGUGGAGAGGGGCUGUGGCGGGGCUUGCUGGGAUCAUGGCGGAGAACCACUGCGAGCUGCUGCCGCCGGCCCCGAGCGGCCUCGGGGCGGGGCUGGGGGGCGGCCUGUGCCGCCGCUGCAGCGCAGGGCUCGGCGCCUUGGCCCAGCGCCCCGGCAGCGUGUCCAAGUGGGUCCGGCUCAACGUCGGCGGCACCUACUUCCUCACCACUCGGCAGACGCUGUGCCGGGAUCCGAAAUCCUUCCUGUACCGUUUGUGCCAGGCCGACCCCGACCUGGACUCGGACAAGGAUGAAACAGGUGCCUAUUUAAUCGACAGAGACCCUACCUAUUUUGGGCCCGUGCUGAACUACCUGAGACACGGAAAGCUGGUCAUUAACAAAGACCUUGCCGAGGAAGGGGUGUUGGAGGAAGCAGAAUUUUACAAUAUCACCUCACUAAUAAAACUUGUAAAGGACAAAAUUAGAGAACGAGACAGCAAAACAUCACAGGUGCCGGUGAAGCACGUGUACCGUGUGCUCCAGUGUCAGGAGGAGGAGCUCACGCAGAUGGUCUCCACCAUGUCCGACGGCUGGAAGUUUGAGCAGCUGGUCAGCAUUGGCUCUUCCUACAACUACGGGAGUGAAGACCAGGCCGAGUUCCUCUGCGUGGUCUCCAAGGAGCUGCACAACUCCCCGUACGGCACGACCAGUGAGCCCAGUGAGAAGGCCAAGAUUUUGCAAGAACGGGGUUCAAGGAUGUGAGGAACAUAGUGUUGACAGCUGAAGAGACAUUUUACCUUUCCCAAGAUGCAAUGAUCCGCCAUGUCGAGGAAGCUUGGCCGUGAGAAGAAACUGCUUUUGACAAUUUCUCUAGAGAUCUGGUUCUCUCUGACGUUUCUGGGGCGCUGGGGACACAGCCUGCUCGGGCCCUGCCCCCCACCGUGACGUUGGAGCUGCUGGGAUUCCUUUGAAAACCGCUGUCCGCAUGUUUUGAGAACAGACCUUCCUCAGCUGGUUGGGGGGCCUGUCCAUCUGGGGGGCCUGCCUGGCGAGCGGCUCUGCCUCCUGACCUCCGGCUUCCAGGGGAGCUGUGCCCACCAUUGCAUCUGGCUCCAAAUGCUUCCGGAGGUUUCUCGCCUGUGCCCUCUUCUCCUUUGCCAAUAUUACCUGAUGAACCAAGUUCUCCAGCAUCUAGGACUUACCUCCUCCUUUUUGUAAGGUCUGUUGUAUGUUGUUAAAUGUUUGGCUUCACCCGUUUAUAGCAACCUUUCUAUAGGGCACACUUAGCCCCCGGUAACCCGUCCUCCCCGCAGAGUCCGUGGGGCUGGAUGGCCCCUCCUUGGCCUCGGGGGUACCUGUGGGGCGCUGCUGGCCGCUUAGCGUCAUUUGAUUUGUGACCUUGACAUAAUAGAUAGGCUUGUGUUUUGUUUUUUUUUUAAUUUAAAGAUAUUAAGACUUAAUUCACUAAAACUUAUUCUAAGGGGAUAUUUAUACUUUUGUACUUUUUUAGGUAUCCAUAUUUUAUCAGCUUACAGUUUAAUGCCUAAGUUUCCCCUGAAAAUAGCAAAUAAAAUUGUGUAUUUAUGAAUGAGCAGAACAACUGUUAGUGUCUUAAAAUGCGUGGAAGAGCCGCCAACGCAGAAGCACUGCGUUGGGCUUGCGGCAGCCCCGGGCCGGCCGCCUGUGUCACUGUCCAGCCUGGGGCUGGCAGGUUAGAGCAGCACAGGCCCAUCUCCCCCCUCAGCUAGGCCAGCCCCAGCCCCUGACCCAUCAUCUUUUGCUGGUAUCGUGCCCCCAUCCGUUGGGCCGAGGAGAUCAUCUUCAAGUGACUUUUAAAGUCCUGAUGCCUCAUUGUGUCAAGUGUGUGCACCUGACUUGUGUCUUUCCCUGGCCAGAGGCAGCAGCUUCAGAGAAAUUCCUCUGAAAUUUCCUGGGUCCCCCCACCCCCUCAGCUUCUCUGGCUUCCCCUGCUGGCGGCUCUUCAAAAGCUCCCGGGAUGCCCAGGCUUUAGGGAAAUUCCCAUUCCCCGUGUUUCCUGGAGAGCUCUGGCUCCCAGAGGUUGGGUAGGAUGUCUUUGACCCCAAGAUGCCGUAGUCUCCUGCUACUCAAACUCCCAGCCUUUUUGGAGUGACUGUCGUGUUUCCAGGCCCGGCCUGGCUGCUCAGGCUUUGGGAUGGGAAUUGUCUGCCAGAGGGCAGGGGCGGGGCUCUAGGGGUACUCGUUGUAGUUUGGGGCACGUGGGGAAGGACUUCAAACUCUCCAAGGAUUUUGCUUUCUGAAAAGACUAAACUCGGCAUCUUACAGCUCCUUGAGGCAAAGAGCAAAGCCAGAUGUGCCUCCAGGCCCCUCUGCCAGGUGGGUACUUGGGAGCAGCCCCUGAGCGACUCAGGUGUCCUCAGCCUGAGCUUGUCUCCUGUCUGAGCAAAGGACUGGAGAGGAGACGGCCAUCCAGCUCGGGUCCUGAGGUCAAAAGCCCUUCGAGGACCCUAUGCUGGGUCCUCAGGGCAGGGAGGGGGCCCUGCCACUUGGACCCCACACUCCAGGCACAGCCUACUCACCAUGGGGGUGUAGGAGGAGGGGCAAGGGGCCCAGCAUUCGGGGGCAGCCUCAGCGUCUCUGGCCCAGUAGCUCCAGGAAGCCAGUGGGCAGGACAGAAGAGGGAGAUGGGCACUGGGAGUGUGCAGACUCCCUGCAUGGGUCCCCAGCUGCUGGGCCUCCUGCAGAGCACAUGCCUGGAACCUUCCAGGGGCAGUCACUGCCCUGGUCACCUCACCUUGCCCCUCCUCUCCCUCGCGCUUACUUGUGUCCACCCAGCAGGUGCUUCUGACAUCUUCGGUCCUCCUGGAGCUGGUGGUGCUGGCAGACUGGUGCCGUACGGCCUGUUGUCACCGAGGCCAGCUGAGGUAGUAGAGGGCUGACCCCACAGUGCAGCUGUUUGUCCUCAGAGCCUCCACGCUCAGGCCUGUGCAGAGCCCCAGAUGCCUCGGAGCCUGCGUGGCUGCCAUCUGUGAACAGAGGCCGUGCCGCCCUGGCACCUUUGGACUGAGCCGUGCUUGCCUAAGACAAACUGCAGAUCUGGUCGCUGGUGUACAACCCCUGGGUUGGGGCAGUGUCUCUGGUUUUGGGGGCUUUGAUUUGCACCCCUGCCUGCUCCAGGUGUUGGCUUCCAGACCGUGGCUGACCCCUGGUCCUUGAGGCCAGAAAGGGUGUGGGGCCCUGGCCCAGCAGUUUUCCUUCUUGGGGCUCCCACAGGCUGGUCCUAAGGCUUCUGUUCAUGGGCACGCAGUAUGGUGAGUGCGCGCAGGGGUCUCCACGCUUGGUUGUGGCCCCGCCUCUGGCUUCCCCGGCCAGCAGCUGUGGUUCCUGUGGGCUGGGCCCCCUCCCCUCCACCCCCUGUGGGCUUGGCCGCCAGCCUCCCGGUCUGUGCUGGCCUGAGCUUCUUCCUGCAGCUGGCGGGGCCCUGGCACCGCCCCUCCCAGGUGGUGGCUCUGAGGCGCUGCUUGGCAGCACCUCAGAGUUGUGUCCAAGCGGCCCGCCGCCGAGGUUGGAGAGGGGACCCAUGGCAGCUGGGGGUUCUUCUUUCCUUCCCCUUCUUCACAGCCCUGAACUCACCAUGCAUGGUGAGCUGCGUGAAUAAACCUGCUUCCCUU